GUAUGAAAAAGGCAAACUCUGCGAAAGCAGGGGACGCAAAGUCACUGAUCUAACGGGCCAGUGCCCCAGGAUAGCAGGACUGCCAGA
rnacentral:ncRNA from 1 species